AUAAAUCUUCAGGGCAGAGUGAAAUUCUCGACCGGUGGUAUAGCCCACGAGCCGUAAGGUUGAUUCGGUGCAACUCCGAAGCCGACAGUAUAGUCUGGAUGAAAGAAGAUGCUU
rfam:Eubacterium cylindroides T2-87 draft genome.